AUUGAACGCUGGCGGCAUGCUUUACACAUGCAAGUCGAACGGUAACAGGUUAAGCUGACGAGUGGCGAACGGGUGAGUAAUGCAUCGGAACGUGCCCGGUCGUGGGGGAUAACGCAGCGAAAGCUGCGCUAAUACCGCAUACGAUCUGAGGAUGAAAGCGGGGGACCGUAAGGCCUCGCGCGAUCGGAGCGGCCGAUGUCAGAUUAGGUAGUUGGUGGGGUAAAGGCUCACCAAGCCAACGAUCUGUAGCUGGUCUGAGAGGACGACCAGCCACACUGGGACUGAGACACGGCCCAGACUCCUACGGGAGGCAGCAGUGGGGAAUUUUGGACAAUGGGCAAAAGCCUGAUCCAGCGAUGCCGCGUGCAGGAAGAAGGCCUUCGGGUUGUAAACUGCUUUUGUACGGAGCGAAAAGGUCUCCUCUAAUACAGGGGGCUCAUGACGGUACCGUAAGAAUAAGCACCGGCUAACUACGUGCCAGCCGCCGCGGUAA
rnacentral:rRNA from 1 species